rnacentral:lncRNA from 1 species
GACACUCAUGGUGUCGAACUCCCCAUUGUUCGACACUAUGAGUGUCGAACUAGCGUGUUCGACAGUAUGACUGUCGAACACGCUCCGUUGACACACAGAAUCCGAAAAUAUUUUCGGAUUCUACAUGAACUGAUAAUUAUUUUUUAAAUUGUGCAUGAAUCGAAAAAAUGCUCCCCUGCUAGCUCCCAGCGCUACCAACCAGCUCCCAGCAGAUUUUUGCCCCUCGUUGAACCUCAUUUUGCCCAGUAACUUGCCCAGCUUUGCGGCAUCACCAAAUCUAUUUGGCCCACGUCCCGCACCAGCGUGAACCUCAUUUGGGCAGCAGCUCACACAAAUUUUCAGCACCAAUCUUGGCAACCACAACAAAGAAUUUUUGGAUAUUUUGGGAGCCUUUUGUGGAGGUGUGACAUUAUCUAUGAGCCCUAGGCGCAUCAACACGUUCCCUGAGCUUCACCGCCGCUUUCUCUGCACUCAUCUAAAGCCUCUUGCCACUCCUCCCCCUGCAUGCCCUGAGCAGAUUACAUUUCUUGUGCUGCACGCCUCCUU